UACGUAGGGGGCUAGCGUUGUCCGGAUUUAUUGGGCGUAAAGAGCGUGUAGGCGGCCAGGUAGGUCUGCUGUGAAAACUCGAGGCUCAACCUCGAGACGUCGGCGGAAACCAUCUGGCUAGAGUCCGGAAGAGGAGAGUGGAAUUCCUGGUGUAGCGGUGAAAUGCGCAGACAUCAGGAAGAACACCUAUGGCGAAGGCAGCUCUCUGGGACGGUACUGACGCUGAGACGCGAAAGCGUGGGGAGCGAACAGG
rnacentral:rRNA from 1 species